GCCUACGGGGGGCAGCAGUGGGGAAUAUUGCACAAUGGGGGAAACCCUGAUGCAGCGACGCCGCGUGAGUGAUGAAGUAUUUCGGUAUGUAAAGCUCUAUCAGCAGGGAAGAUAAUGACGGUACCUGACUAAGAAGCUCCGGCUAAAUACGUGCCAGCAGCCGCGGUAAUACAUAGGGGGCAAGCGUUAUCCGGAAUUAUUGGGUGUAAAGGGUGCGUAGACGGAAGAACAAGUUGGUUGUGAAAUCCCUCGGCUCAACUGAGGAACUGCAACCAAAACUAUUCUCCUUGAGUGUCGGAGAGGAA
rnacentral:rRNA from 1 species